UACGUAGGGUCCGAGCGUUGUCCGGAAUUAUUGGGCGUAAAGAGCUCGUAGGCGGUCUGUCAAGUCGGCUGUGAAAACUCGGGGCUCAACUCCGUGCCUGCAGUCGAUACGGGCAGACUAGAGUUCGGUAGGGGAGACUGGAAUUCCUGGUGUAGCGGUGAAAUGCGCAGAUAUCAGGAGGAACACCGGUGGCGAAGGCGGGUCUCUGGGCCGAAACUGACGCUGAGGAGCGAAAGCGUGGGGAGCGAACAGG
rnacentral:rRNA from 1 species